AGAGAUGCACUGGGCUUAAAGCGUGCGCAGGCGGUUUUGUAAGACAGGGGUGAAAUCCCCGGGCUCAACCUGGGAACUGCCUUUGUGACUGCAAGGCUGGAGUGCGGCAGAGGGGGAUGGAAUUCCGCGUGUAGCAGUGAAAUGCGUAGAUAUGCGGAGGAACACCGAUGGCGAAGGCAAUCCCCCUGGGCCUGCACUGACGCUCAUGCACGAAAGCGUGGGGAGCAAACA
rnacentral:rRNA from 1 species